rnacentral:rRNA from 1 species
GAUGAACGCUGGCGGCGUGCCUAAUACAUGCAAGUCGAGCGAACAGACGAGGAGCUUGCUCCUCUGACGUUAGCGGCGGACGGGUGAGUAACACGUGGAUAACCUACCUAUAAGACUGGGAUAACUCCGGGAAACCGGAGCUAAUACCGGAUAAUAUAUUGAACCGCAUGGUUCAAUAGUGAAAGACGGUUUUGCUGUCACUUAUAGAUGGAUCCGCGCCGCAUUAGCUAGUUGGUAAGGUAACAGCUUACCAAGGCAACGAUGCGUAGCCGACCUGAGAGGGUGAUCGGCCACACUGGAACUGAGACACGGUCCAGACUCCUACGGGAGGCAGCAGUAGGGAAUCUUCCGCAAUGGGCGAAAGCCUGACGGAGCAACGCCGCGUGAGUGAUGAAGGUCUUCGGAUCGUAAAACUCUGUUAUUAGGGAAGAACAAAUGUGUAAGUAACUAUGCACGUCUUGACGGUACCUAAUCAGAAAGCCACGGCUAACUACGUG